UACGUAGGUGACCAGCGUUGUCCGGAUUUACUGGGCGUAAAGAGCGCGCAGGCGGUCGUUCAAGUCGAGUGUGAAAGCCCCCGGCUCAACUGGGGAGGGUCAUUCGAUACUGAUCGACUUGAAGGCAGGAGAGGGAAACGGAAUUCCCGAUGUAGUGGUGAAAUGCGUAGAUAUCGGGAGGAACACCAAUGGCGAAGACGGCUUCCUGGCCUGUUCUUGACGCUGAGGCGCGAAAGCUAGGGGAGCAAACGGG
rnacentral:rRNA from 1 species